ensembl:lncRNA
UAUCCUUUAAACACUUUAGUUUGUUCAGUAGCCUACACCAGUGUUUACCAUCCUGCUCUAUUCCCCUGCAUGUCUAUUUCAGGUCUUUGUAAAGCGAUAAACAAUUCCUUUAUUAUUAAUCCAACUGUCCUUCUGAGACGCCGGAACUGUCUUGUGUGAGUACAGCGCUGGAUUAAUUACCUCCUGUUUUUGCUUAUUGUAUAACUGUGGGAGGCAGCAUGGAAUAAGAAGUAAUUGGUUUUCGCGAAGCGGUACACCGGCCCUUUAAGAAAGCCACACAAACAAACGCCUCUCCAUUAACCAAAUCAAUUGUCGCUUACCGCUGAGACGUGACGGUGAUUAUCCUAUUUUUGGGUUCACCCAAGUUCCUCUAUAAUUACAUCAAAUGAGAAUGUAUUUCAAUUCAAUUGUCUUAAACGGAAUUUCCCCCUGCUCCCUAAAGAUGUAGCUAAGCUGCGUGUUCAAUAAGUGAAAUUCUCAAGUUUCCAAAAAUAAGUCAAAAGGACAUUAAACAUGACAUUACGUAAAAUGCUAUUAAACGCCCACAACCCCCGGAGAAGCAUCAAGUAUGUAGAAAGAGCUAUCUGCUAGUGAAGAUGAGGAGACUUUCCUCUUCAAGCACCUCCACGAACACCUGACGGCUUCUGUACCACAUCCAUUCAAAGCCAGCAGAAAGGCCCUGCCCUCUCAGAUCAAAUUAGACGCUGUCAGGAUGAUAGCACCCAGAGCUUGUCAGGACAGCUGCUUGGAGUCCUGUGAGAUGAGCCGGUCAGAGACAACAUUUCACCAUUGUGGUUAGUCAGGAACGACUGCGCCGGAAUACCAAGUGUCUGAUCAAAUGGAAGUGGGAUUUUAGACGUUCCAUUCCACAAAGUGAAACACUGUGCAGCCUGUUUAUUCAUUAGCUGUUCAUUAGUGGCAGAAUUAGCCGCUGAAUGCACAAUUCAUUCAAACUUAAAUUCUUCAAUUAAGAGGGCAAUGAAAUUUAAAUGGUUCUGUCAAUUUGUGUAAUGGUUCAUAGUUUUAUGGGUGCAAAUGUGUGCUGAUUUUCCAAAUACGUAUACUGUAUGUGUUUGUAUUUAUAUAUACUGUACAUAAUAAAUAUACACAGUGCAAUUUUUAUUAUUUUGUUCAGGUACAAGCUUAGUGUAUAUCUCUUUUUUGCCAUUUAAGCUUUCAGAUACCUCA